CAGUGGUUUAUUCGAAGCACGCGCAGAACCUUACCAGCGUUUGACAUGUCCGGACGAUUUCCAGAGAUGGAUUUCUUCCCUUCGGGGACUGGAACACAGGUGCUGCAUGGCUGUCGUCAGCUCGUGUCGUGAGAUGUUGGGUUAAGUCCCGCAACGAGCGCAACCCUCGCCUUUAGUUGCCAUCAUUUAGUUGGGCACUUUAAAGGAACCGCCGGUGAUAAGCCGGAGGAAGGUGGGGAUGACGUCAAGUCCUCAUGGCCCUUACGCGCUGGGCUACACACGUGCUACAAUGGCGGUGACAGUGGGCGGCAAACCGGCGACGGUGAGCUAAUCUCCAAAAGCCGUCUCAGUUCGGAUUGUUCUCUGCAACUCGAGAGCAUGAAGGCGGAAUCGCUAGUAAUCGCGGAUCAGCAUGCCGCGGUGAAUACGUUCCCAGGCCUUGUACACACCGCCCGUCACACCAUUGAAGUGUGGUUCACCCGAAGGCGUUGCG
rnacentral:rRNA from 1 species